rnacentral:rRNA from 1 species
AGUGAACGCUGGCGGUAGGCCUAACACAUGCAAGUCGAACGGCAGCACAGUAAGAGCUUGCUCUUACGGGUGGCGAGUGGCGGACGGGUGAGGAAUACAUCGGAAUCUACUUUUUCGUGGGGGAUAACGUAGGGAAACUUACGCUAAUACCGCAUACGACCUACGGGUGAAAGCAGGGGAUCUUCGGACCUUGCGCGAUUGAAUGAGCCGAUGUCGGAUUAGCUAGUUGGCGGGGUAAAGGCCCACCAAGGCGCCGAUCCGUAGCUGGUCUGAGAGGAUGAUCAGCCACACUGGAACUGAGACACGGUCCAGACUCCUACGAGAGGCAGCAGUGGGGAAUAGUAGACAAUGGGCGCAAGCCUGAUCCAGCCAUACCGCGUGGGUGAAGAAGGCCUUCGGUUUGUAAAGCCCUUUUGUUGGGAAAGAAAAGCAGCAGGUUAAGACCCCGCUGUUCUGACGGUACCCAAAGAAUAAGCACCGGCUAACUUCGUG